rnacentral:misc_RNA from 1 species
GAUGAAGAACGUAGCGAAAUGCGAUAAGUAGUGUGAAUUGCAGAAUUCAGUGAAUCAUCGAAUCUUUGAACGCACAUUGCGCCUCCUGGUAUUCCGGGAGGCAUGCCUGUUCGAGCGUCAUUUCAACCAUCAAGCCCCCGGCUUGUGUUGGGGACCUGCGGCUGCCGCAGGCCCUGAAAAGCAGUGGCGGGCUCGCUGUCACACCGAGCGUAGUAGCAUACAUCUCGCUCUGGGCGUGCUGCGGGUUCCGGCCGUUAAACCACCUUCAUAACCCAAGGUUGACCUCGGAUCAGGUAGGAAGACCCGCUGAACUUAAGCAUAUCAAUAAGCGGAGGA